rnacentral:rRNA from 1 species
GAUGAACGCUGGCGGCGUGCCUAAUACAUGCAAGUCGAGCGAACGGACGAGAAGCUUGCUUUUCUGAUGUUAGCGGCGGACGGGUGGGUAACACGUGGAUAACCUACCUAUAAGACUGGGAUAACUUCGGGAAACCGGAGCUAAUACCGGAUAAUCUUUUGAACCGCAUGGUUCAUAAGUGAAAGACGGUCUUGCUGUCACUUCUAGAUGGAUCCGCGCUGCAUUAGCUAGUUGGUAAGGUAACGGCUUACCAAGGCAACGAUGCAUAGCCGACCUGAGAGGGUGAUAGGCCACACUGGAACUGAGACACGGUCCAGACUCCUACGGGAGGCAGCAGUAGGGAAUCUUCCGCAAUGGGCGAAAGCCUGACGGAGCAACGCCGCGUGAGUGAUGAAGGUCUUCGGAUCGUAAAACUCUGUUAUUAGGGAAGAACAUAUGUGUAAGGAACUGUGCACAGCUUGACGGUACCUAAUCAGAAAGCCACGGCUAACUACGUG